AGAAAGCAGCAUGUGAUGACAGAAAUGUCAAAAUGUCAACCAGUCCAAAGAGCUCAAUCAGCAAGAUACUGGAGACUACCCGUUCACCUGUGCUUCACUUGUGCGACUCAUUGCAAAAUCCCUCCCAAGAUCCCCUAACCUCAUUAAAUAACUAUUGAUGAGAAACCCUUAGACCCCCUCUCCUGGAAUGCCCUGAUGACUCCCGUUGGUGAGGCCAGAAAAAAUGACCGAGGAAAUGUAGUUUUAAAUACCGAACAAUGGGAGCAGAUAAUGACUAGCUUAUAUCAAAAUAAAGAUAAUUAUCCAAAUUCUUCCAUCACCCAAGGGUAAAGUGGGGAAUGAUGGUGGGGAUUGGCAGGAGGGCACGAAGCAAAUAAUGCCACACACCCUCCCUUUUGCAUUGAUCUGUCAUUUCUCCUUUUUGAGUCCAUUGAGGAAACAAUCUGUAAAGUAACAAAAGAACUGUAAGAAAAUGGGCUAUUGUAAUAUUGAUUCACAUUGUAUAACUGUCUUUAUCCUCCCUGUCUCCCAAAUUUUUUUUGGUAUAAUUAUUUUUAUCAUCAAAUGAGACAUUUGACGAACAAGUAGGAAAAUUCCAAAUUGCAUUUUUUCGGCACUAUGAUGCUAAGUGAGCAACACUCUAUGACCCAGCAACCAUGAGAGACUUUGCCGAAAAGUAUGUCCCAGAGCUAUAUUCAACAAUUCUAAACAGCAUAACCAGAUGCAAGCAUUCAGCCCUCCAAGAGCAGCGCACUGUUACUCUGUUACACACUUUGGCUUACUUUAGGUCUCAGAAAACUAGUAGAUUACAGAAGGAUCUUGGUUUGUACCUCCACCUGCAUGGACUGCCAAGAUCUGCCCUCAACAGUGGCCUUCUGACUGGAUUUGGAUGUGCACCAAGAACAAUAGACUCAUACAAUAAAGCUAAAAAAAAACUAUCCAGAACUACUCACCUAACUCAAUUAACUCCAAAGCACUCCCAUUAUCAUACAAGGACUUGAAACAAUCCUCUUUGUCAUGUUUUCCAGAUCCAAAUAACUGUUGUGAUAAUCAAAACUGCACAGUAAAUAAAAUUGAUACUGAAAUACAGUAUUAAGACUAA